rnacentral:rRNA from 1 species
GACGAACGCUGGCGGCGUGCUUAACACAUGCAAGUCGAGCGGUAAGGCCCUUUCGGGGGUACACGAGCGGCGAACGGGUGAGUAACACGUGGGUAAUCUGCCUCAAAGCCCGGGAUAACCUGCCGAAAGGCAAGCUAAUACCGGAUAAGCCUACGGACUCUUCGGGGUCUGAAGGAAAAGGUGGCCUCUGUAUACAAGCUAUCACUUUGAGAUGAGCCCGCGGCCCAUCAGCUCGUUGGCGGGGUAACGGCCCACCAAGGCAACGACGGGUAGCUGGUCUGAGAGGACGAUCAGCCACACUGGAACUGAGACACGGUCCAGACUCCUACGGGAGGCAGCAGUGGGGAAUUUUGGUACAAUGGGGGCAACCCUGAUCCAGCCAUUCCGCGUGAGUGAAGAA